rnacentral:lncRNA from 1 species
CUCCAAGUUAGCCACGCUGCCAGAUGGAAGAACUAAAAAUCAGGACCUACCUUUGGCUUUCCCCCUCCUCCUCUCCCAUAUCGCUCCUGUGAGAGGUGACAGCGUGAUGGCGGCCCUCGCAGCCCUGGCUCGCUCUCGGUGCCCCCUUGGCCUCGGCGCCCAUUCUGGCCGCACUUGAGGAGCCCUUCAGCCCGCCGCUGCACCGUGGGAGACCUUCUCUGGGCUGGCCGAGGCCGGAGCUGGCUCCCUCGGCUUGUGGGGAGGUGUGGAGGGAGAGGCACGGGCGGGAACCGGGGCUGCGCGUGGCGCUUGCGGGCCAGCUAGAGUUCCGGGUGGGCGUGGGCUUGGCGGCCCCGCACUCGGAGCGGCCGGCCAGCCCUGCCGCCCCGGGCAGUGAGGGGCUUAGCAUCCAGGCCAGCAGCUGCGGAGGGUGCGCCCGGUCCCCCAGCAGUGCUGGCCCACCGGCGCUGCGCUCGAUUUCUCGCCCGGCCUUAGCUGCCUCCCCGCUGGGCAGGGCUUGGGACCUGCAGCCCGCCAUAACUGAGUCUCCCCCGCCCCGCCGUGGGCUCCUGCGCGGCCUGAGCCUCCCGGAGGAGCACCGCCGACCGCCUAAGGGCUGAGGAGUGCGGGCGCACGGCGGGAGACUAGCGGGCAGCUCCACCUGUGGCACUGUGCAAGAUCCACUGGGUGAGGCCAGCUGGGCUCCUGAGUCUAGUGGGGACUUGGAAAACCUUUGUGUCUAGCUAAGGGAUUGUGAGUGCACCAAUCAGCACUCUGUGUCUAGCUCAAGGUUUGUAAACACCAAUCAGCACCCUGUGUCUAGUUUGGGGUUUGUGGAUGCACCAAUGGGCACUCUGUAUCUAGCUAAUCUGGUGGGGACUUGGAGAAUCUUUAUGUCUAGCUAAGGGAUUGUGAAUGCACCAAUGGGCACUCUGUGUCUAGCUCAAGGUUUGUAAAUGCAACAAUGAGCGCUUUGUGUCUAGCUAAUCUGGUGGGGACUUGGAGAAUCUUUAUGUCUAGCUAAGGGGUUGUGAAUGCACCAAUUGGCACUCUGCAUCUAGCUCAAGGUUUGUAAAUGCACCAAUCAGCACCCUGUGCCUAGCUCAGGGUUUGUAAAUACACCAAUGGACACUCUGUAUCUAGCUAAUCUAGUGGGGAUGUGGAUAACUUUUGUGUCUAGCUCAGGGAUUGUGAACACACCAAUCGGCACCCUGUCAAAAUGGACCAAUCAGCUCUCUGUAAAACAGACCAAUCGGCUCUCUGUAAAAUGGACCAAUCAGCAGGAUGUGGGUGGGGCCAGAUAAGAUAAUAAAAGCAGGCUGCGUGAGCCAACAGUGGCAACUUGUUCGGGUAUCCUUCCCCAGUGUGGAAGCUUUAGUUCUUUUGCUCUUUGCAAUGAAUCUUGCUGCUGCUCACUCUUUGGGUCCACGCUGCGUUUACACUGUGUUUAUGAGCUGUAACACUCACCACAAAGGUCUGCAGCUUCACUCCUGAAGCCAGCAAAGACCACGAACCCACCAGGAAGAAGGAACAACUCCAGACACGCAGCCUUAAGAGCUGUAACACUCACUGCCAAGGUCUUCAGCUUCACUCCUGAGCCAGCCAGACCAUGAACCCACCAGAAGGAAAAAACUCGGAACACAUCCCAACAUCAGAAGGAACAAACUCUGGACAUGCCGCCUUUAAGAACUGUAACAACGCAAGGGUCCGCGGCUUUAUUCUUGAAGUCAGUAAGACCAAGAACCCAAUUCCGGACACGUUUGGACCGCCCACAAGGGCAAGACUUCAUGAGGUUCUGGUGACCAAGCAUGCUCAUCGCUGUCCUGGGACUGCUCCAAGUGCAAUUCAAAGAUGUUUGUUACAAAUGAAGAUCCUCUCCUCAGAGAUCCUCAUUCCCUGCAUUUGAGAUGGGCCCUGGGAACCUUCAUUAUUAACUCCUGAAUUUCACUUGGACCAACACGGUGAUGGUGACAAGCCCAGCAGAUGGAAAGGCAGCUCAACAUCUGAGAAGCCAGUCUUACUCCCUGCAGGCAACAGCUGCUUCCAGAAAACAGCCCUGUAAUUGUCACCAUCAAAUCCAUAUAUUUUCAAGGGAAGUUGGUCCCACACCAGAAGUCAUAGCUGAAUCACCAGCAGUAAUGCAGGGACAUACUGGUUGCUUCUUGGCUUUUCCAACCCUCUGCCAUGCUUGAACAUCUUUGUGAAAGUCCAGGAACAACAAAUAAGCUUAAGGAUAAAAGCCCCCCAGCCAUACCACCACAACCCCCUGUUAAACUCAUGCAUGACUUGUAGAAUCCUUUCCCCACUGUCACUAAAAGGCUUUUUACAUUUUCCCUCCUUAAAACACCAGUUUACUGAAUGGAACGCUAUUUCCUAAAUAUUUGCUACACACACAGCUGUAUAUAGAGUUCCCAGGAGAUGACUUUUUUCUUGUCAUCUUUUAAAACUACAGUUAUAUGUUGAUUUAAUUAUCUUCUCUCUAGAUUACUUCACCAAAGUACAGUUCCUACAGGAAGAUAAUGAUCUGACCUAACCUACUAUUGGCUGAAGGAAGGAGAAAAGCAGCUGAAGAUGUCUGUUGAGUGAUUACCCUCAUAAUCCGUGACUAAGAACAUCCAAAUCAGCAUGGCUUCUUCCUGUCUGAAAUUAUUACUACUUAGGGUUUUUCACGUGUUAUUUCAUUUAUUGAUUAUUCUGUUUUAAACUUGCAAGACGUAUUGUCUCUUCAGAAAUAAAACUUUAUCACUUGCUUCAUCAAUUCAAUUAAUUUCACAAUGCAUUGAUUAAACUCCUACGUAAGCAUUUCAGCAUUUUAAAACAUUUUUAAAAAGGUAAAAUCAGGACUGUCAUGUGAAUGAUAUGCCAAAGGUUUUAUUCAACUCAUUAAUUAAUGAAGGAACAAGUGAGGUAUAUAUAGCCAUUUUAAU